rnacentral:rRNA from 1 species
CAGCCGCCGCGGGAAUACAGAGGAUGCAAGCGUUAUCCGGAAUGAUUGGGCGUAAAGCGUCUGUAGGUGGCUUUUCAAGUCCGCCGUCAAAUCCCAGGGCUCAACCCUGGACAGGCGGUGGAAACUACCAAGCUGGAGUACGGUAGGGGCAGAGAGAAUUUCCGGUGUAGCAGUGAAAUGCGUAGAUAUGCGGAGGAACACCGAUGGCGAAGGCAAUCCCCUGGGCCUGCACUGACGCUCAUGCACGAAAGCGUGGGGAGCAAACAGGAUUAGAUACCCCGGUAGUCCCUGUCUCUUAUAC